rnacentral:rRNA from 1 species
GGUAACCUACCCUCGAGUGGGGAAUAACUAGCCGAAAGGUUAGCUAAUACCGCGUACGCUUCCCUGACUACGGUUCGGGGAGGAAAGCGAUACCGUGGGUAUCGCGCUCUUGGAUGGGCUUAUGUCCUAUCAGCUUGUUGGUGAGGUAAUGGCUCACCAAGGCUUCGACGGGUUGCUGGUCUGAGAGGACGAUCAGCCACACUGGCACUGCGACACGGGCCAGACUCCUACGGGAGGCAGCAGUAAGGAAUAUUGCGCAAUGGGCGACAGCCUGACGCAGCGACGCCGCGUGGGGGACGAAGGUCUUCGGAUUGUAAACCCCUUUCGGGAGGGAAGAUGGAGCGGGCAACCGUUCGGACGGUACCUCCAGAAGCAGCCACGGCUAACUUCGUGCCAGCAGCCGCGGUAAUACGAAGGUGGCAAGCGUUGUUCGGAUUUACUGGGCGUACAGGGAGCGUAGGCGGUUCGGUAAGCCCUCUGUGA